UACGUAGGGUGCAAGCGUUGUCCGGAAUUACUGGGCGUAAAGAGCUCGUAGGCGGUCUGUCGCGUCGGCUGUGAAAACCCGGAGCUCAACUCCGGGCCUGCAGUCGAUACGGGCAGACUGGAGUACUGCAGGGGAGACUGGAAUUCCUGGUGUAGCGGUGAAAUGCGCAGAUAUCAGGAGGAACACCGGUGGCGAAGGCGGGUCUCUGGGCAGUUACUGACGCUGAGGAGCGAAAGCGUGGGGAGCGAACAGG
rnacentral:rRNA from 1 species